UGGGGAAUAUUGGACAAUGGGCGCAAGCCUGAUCCAGCCAUGCCGCGUGAGUGAUGAAGGCCUUAGGGUUGUAAAGCUCUUUUGUCCGGGAAGAUAAUGACUGUACCGGAAGAAUAAGCCCCGGCUAACUUCGUGCCAGCAGCCGCGGUAAUACGAAGGGGGCUAGCGUUGCUCGGAAUCACUGGGCGUAAAGGGCGCGUAGGCGGACUUUUAAGUCGGGGGUGAAAGCCCAGGGCUCAACCCUGGAAUUGCCUUCGAUACUGGGAGUCUUGAGUUCGGAAGAGGUUGGUGGAGCUGCGAGUGUAGAGGUGAAAUUCGUAGAUAUUCGCAAGAACACCGGUGGCGAAGGCGGCCAACUGGUCCGAAACUGACGCUGAGGCGCGAAAGCGUGGGGAGCAAACAGG
rnacentral:rRNA from 1 species